GGAAGGCUGAAGGGCUUCGUCUCUCCGCUCGUGAGCAGGUGUGGCAUGAGGACACCUGAAGAUGCUGAUGUUCCUGUUGCUUCUGGCACCAGGCUCUGGUUUCGGCGCUCUGGUCUCUCAACAUCCAAGCAGGGCUCUCAGGAAGAGCGGAGCCUCUGUGAAGAUGGAGUGCCGCUUGGUGGACUUAGAGGCAUCAACCAUGUUUUGGUAUCAUCAGUCCCCAAAACAGGGCCUCAUAUUGGUGGCAACUUCUAAUCAGGCCUCUGAUGUCAUCUAUGAACAAGGUUUUACCGAGGACAAGUUUCCCAUCAGCCAUCCCAACGUAACAUUUUCAUCUCUGAUGGUGACCAGUGUGCAACGUGCAGACAGCAGCUUUUAUUUCUGUGGUGCUAGUGACACAGCGCUGGGCAGAGAUCAGAGACCCAGACAAGAACCUGUGCAAGGGGCUCCUCUCCCCACCCUACAAGCCUGGGAACCCUGUGGGAGGAGGUGUGGAUAGAGAAAAACCACAGCUUCUCUGAUUGAGACAUCUGUGAACAUGCAUGUGUGCAUCUGUGUGUGUGAGCAUGAUUGUGCAUAUGUGUGCAUCCAUGUGCAUGUGAGCGUGAGUGUGCAUAUGCUUGUGUGUGUGUGUGUGUGUGUGUGAAGAAAGAGACCAAAGAGUGGCUGAGUGUGGUGUGGGGAGAAGGGUCGUGUUUGAGGACCAGCAAAAUGAGAAAGAAAACUGGGCCUGUAAAGUAACCAACUGACAUGGAAAGUUCCCUGGGCUGAAUAUUAUAAAACUUGGGUUUUUUCCUGACUAUAUUACACACACACACACACACUCCCCAGAGGCAUGGUGUUCCCCAGCGGGAACACCAUGAGAAAAUUCAGAGACUUUGAGAGAGUCAGGGUCCCUUAAGUCUCCUGUUUGCUUAGAUAUCCCUGUUCUCCGUAUCCAUUUCUUACUCAAUACCCUACUUUACACAAGAGAUUUGCAAGGUUGUGAGUCAGCUGGCACUGUAAUUCAACAUCUCACAAAAAUAAUUUCCAGAACUGGUUUGCAGGAGCCUCUAUCCAGUCGCUGCAGUACAUGCCACUUCCCAGGUGUCCGAAGAUGAUCGUCUAGAAGCUGCUUCAGAUUCCUGCCACAGCUGCUGGUUUUCCAUUCUGGAAUAGGAAAGCACUGCAACUACUUUUGACUAACCAGUAGUCAAUUUCAAAUACUCCAUAAAUAUUUGAGUGUCUUUUAUCUGUAAUUAACU